rnacentral:rRNA from 1 species
GUGGGGAAUAUUGGACAAUGGGCGAAAGCCUGAUCCAGCCAUGCCGCGUGAGUGAUGAAGGCCUUAGGGUUGUAAAGCUCUUUCAGUAGGGAAGAUAAUGACGGUACCUACAGAAGAAGCCCCGGCUAACUUCGUGCCAGCAGCAGCGGUAAUACGAAGGGGGCUAGCGUUGUUCGGAUUUACUGGGCGUAAAGCGCACGUAGGCGGAUUGGUCAGUUAGAGGUGAAAUCCUGGAGCUCAACUCCAGAACUGCCUUUAAUACUGCCAGUCUAGAGUCCAGAAGAGGUGAGUGGAACUCCUAGUGUAGAGGUGGAAUUCGUAGAUAGUAGGAAGAACACCAGUGGCGAAGGCGGCUCACUGGUCUGGUACUGACGCUGAGGUGCGAAAGCGUGGGGAGCAAACAGGAUUAGAUACCCGGGUAGUCC